rnacentral:lncRNA from 1 species
GGGUUUGAGAUUGGAAAAGUUUUGAGAGCUUUAUUUUCAUCUCCAUCUCAGAUCUCCUAGGAGCAUCAAACAUAUUUUAUGAGUAAUGUUCUUCAUCGAAUAUUUCUAAAUCUAUCUUUGAAAUUGCUUGCUUAAAUUCAUUUUAUAUGCUCAUUUGUUUUGGCUAGGAGUUUUACAUUUUCAAAAGAGUUGAUUUUAGCUUUGAGCUACCACUUGUGUUCUUCAUUGAAACCCUAGUCACAAAACCAUAUUCAUGCAUCAAAUACCCAAUCACUACAUAUUAAGGUAGCAUUGUCUUCAUGGUUUUAUUUUAAUUUAGUGGCCAAGUUCUUCAAGUUUCAAAUCUUUAAACUGGCCCCAUAUUCGGAUUCUCAUCAAUUUCUUUUUUCAACUGUUUGACUGAAGAAACUGACUAGUCAUUGAAUCAUGUGCAUUUGUUGUGUGUUGGUCUCGAUGCCACAAGGUGAAGAGUUCAGGAGGAGCUGUCAUCUUGUGAAGAUUGGAAACAAUACAUUUUCGGUGAGUUUCAAAUCUUUAAACUGGCCCCAUAUUCGGAUUCUCAUCAAUUUCUUUUUUCAACUGUUUGACUGAAGAAACUGACUAGUCAUUGAAUCAUGUGCAUUUGUUGUGUGUUGGUCUCGAUGCCACAAGGUGAAGAGUUCAGGAGGAGCUGUCAUCUUGUGAAGAUUGGAAACAAUACAUUUUCGGUGCCACAAGGUGAAGAGCUUAUGAGGAGCUGCCAAGACCGAAAGAAUCCGUCUCAUGUAAGGCAAUGUGCACAAAGGUAAAGCUACUCCGUAGACUAGGUCUAGGAAUUGAGCUUUGUGUGGUACUUUGUAAGAAUCUUGUUUACACUAGUAUAUUAGACUCAGUGGAGAGUCCUCGGUUUUUUAACCCAGAUGUGAGCUUUUUUUGCCAAAAACUUAUUGCGUUCUUUGUCUCUUAAACUUAUCCACAUAUCUUAUUUACUUGCAUAUGCUUCAUGCAUCCUAUGAAUUGUUAGUUGAUAUUUGUUAGAGACUAAGUUUACACUGCAUAUUAUGAGCAACGAACUGAAUUGUUGUUGACUAGAAUGAAUAACUAGUAGUGAACUAAUUUUAAGUGGUAGAUUUGCGUUUGAUUAACUGACAAAUUUGUAUUUAGUUGCCUGGUGAACUUCACCAGUCAAUCCAGUAUACUUUAAUUCACAAUUGUUUUGUCAUUGUUGUUUGCAUAAUGAACUGAUAUGUAAAUGUGUUCAAGUUUAGGAAUUAUUGUUGUGAAACUAAUAUGGGCAGACUCUGAUUAGUUGAACAUAUUGGUCAGUUAAGUUUUGUUCUUCCAGUUGCACUUUUUAUCACUGACUAACUUGUAACUAGUUGGCUAGCUCAUUUGACUAGUUUACUGUACAAAGUUAAAUUUUUAUUUGUAUGAUAUUCCGUCUAGCUCAUCUGACUAGUUUUCACUUUCAAGAUUUUGUUUUGUUUCAACACUUCGAUGCGGUUUUAAAAUGUUGGUUAUGAAAGUCUCGUAAACCUACAUACUAUGAUGGGAGAUGCAGAAGGGGCCUAAGCCUAUCCUGACCCCUCAUGUGGCUCUGUCACUAUCAUAAGUUUAUAUUUCAGACAAAUAUACAAUUUUUUUUCCAAGAAAAAGGUAAAUAUACAAUUUAACUUUUUAGGGCUCAUUCAAAAUAAAAAGUCAAAAUUUAAAGUAAAAAACUACUUAAGGUUGUUUUCACUUUCAAGCUUUUGUUGUAUUCAUUAUUUGUUUAUAUUAUCAUCCUUCUUACUCCUACCUUUCCUCUAUAUACUUUCCUCACAUCUCAAAGUACUAAAAAUACGUAAAACAUAAAAUUAAAACAAAAUGAUUACCAAAGUACCUUUAAAUAUUUAUAUAUGCAAAAAAAUCGCAUACCACAAUACUAUAUACAUGGUCCAUAUAAGGGGUUUGUAUCAAUGCAGAAUAAAAUUAGGGAUAUCAUCAAAUAGCAUAUUGAAAGAGUUUCUUUUCACUCCUUGUGCAUGUAAUGGGGUUGCGCAUUAGGUGACGUCUUAUGUCAUGCGUGUGGGGGCUAUCAUAUGUGGGGUUGCUUUGAACCGAAGAGGUUGUUUAAUUUUCUGACUUUUGAUGUAAACAUUUCAAUUCGUAUCUAAUAAUAUUUAAUCUUCAAAUUUAGUGAUGCGCCAAUUCCAAUUUAGUUGAUGACAAAUUUAGGGUUGAAAGAUGGAUGUGUUUUCAAGCUUUGCAUAUUGGCAUUGUUGUCAAAUGAAAAUUCAAUGCUUGUCUGAAGAAUUGUCUUUUCGAGUAAGGAAUAUAUGAGCUCAUUUGGAAGUACUUUUAAAAUUAUUGAAAACACUUUUGGUGAAACUAUUUUCAAAACCAAUCAUUAGUAAAAAUUCAAGUGAAUCAUGAAAAAUCAUUUUAAGUGCUUUCUCCAAGAAGCAUAUAUUAGGUGCUUCUUCCAAAAAGACACUUAGUGUUUUUGGAACUCAAAUCAAUUUUAACAAAAACGCUUCCAAUCAUUUUAAAAGUACUUUCCAAACGAGCCCUAUAUCUCUUUCAACACUUUAUAUAUCAAUACAUGCUUUACAUAUGUUAAUUUAGGACCACUUCUCUAGAAAUGAGAUCUCUUAACAAAAUAAUAUUAUUUACAUAAACGAGAUCGAAAAUAUAUAUACACAAGCCCUAGAAAAUUUCUCUAGUUUGCACUUUUUGAAAGAUCUUUCAAUUUCAAACCAUCUUUAUGCAUGUUUGAUUGUGAAUGUACAUGAUUCUAAAAAUUUUAUUUAACAAAAAGCUUAAGCUCAAUGCAUAGGAUAUUCCAAUCGAAGACAAGCCGCCUACAAUACUUUAUUAUUGAUAGUCAUGUUUCAUUAAAAUCUUCGCAACCCUUCCUUUGCACCGCCAUUCAAAAGUAUAUAUGGAAUCUUGUUGCUUUAUCGACUGUGUAUUUCUAGCCAUCAUUUUACAGGUUCAAACUCUCAUUUUUUCACAAGCACUAAACUAAGAUGAGAGUUACUUCCAUUGUUUUAAAACUCAAGAUUUCAACCGCAUUUAGCCCAAUUGACCUUUUUAUUUUGGGAAUUUUAACGAAAAGCACCCGUUACUGUUCACUUUAACGAAAAGCCACAUUUUUACACUAAAAAGUCAAUCCUGAUACUAUUCACUUUACCCUUUAUUUUGUCCUUAUCAUUAAAACUCAAAGUUUUCAAGCCUUUUUUAUUAGUUUUCCUUUUUAUUUUUCUAUACUUUGUCAAGGUGCUUUUCUAGGAUAAUGUAUACUUGCAACAAGUGUACCACCAAUAGGAAUAGAAUCCUCUCCAGAUUCUCUUUAUUGGAAUCCGGAGGAUUAAUCAAUCAUAUAUCAUACAUCGUGCAAUUAGAAAUUAUUUUUAAUUUUUAAUUUAAAAUUAAAUAUAAAUAGUACCUAACAAAAACUGACCUCAUGAUAUACAAUGAACGAACACAAUUGAUUGAUCUCCGAAUCCCCACAAAAAAUAUCUAGCGAGGAUGCUUGUCCCCACCAAUAGCCCUGAUUAGUCCAUCAUUCUUGUCAUUAUUUAUUUGUUUAAACUAUUGUUAAUGGUAAAAACAGUAAUAUAUACAAGAGUAUGUUUACAAAUCAAGUAAGAACACCUCCACCCACUUAUGCAAUAAUUGCCACGUCAAUUGGACAAACACAAUUAUUACUUUGGUAAAUGGUAAUUUCUUAAGUGUAUCUCUAACUCAUAAACUAAACAGGGCUGGCAAUUAGAAUCAAAAAAAUAUUUAAAAUAAUAAAAAAAUUAUUAAAAUUAAAAGGAACAACAACUCGUCUGAUGAGCCAUCGGAGGGGGAGGUAUUCCGCGUCGUAUUUGAGUUUCCAGAGCUUGGUUCGUUUGAUGGGUCGUCUUCAGUUAGAAGGAACAACAACUCGACUAAUGGGUUGUCGUUGGGGGAGGAAUGGACAAGGAUUAUCUGCCCUCCCUUUUUCCAUAUCUUUCAAUGUCUUUCUGUUUGUGUGGUUACGGUUAAGCCACGUCAACAUUUUAUAUUACUAUUCAUUUUUGUCUUAUUAUCUUUAUAAAAAAAUAAUAUAAAAUGUUAACAUGGCUUAACCGUGACCACACAAAACAGGAGGACAUGGAAGAAAGACAAUCCUUGUCCGUGAGGAAUCUGGCAUCGAAAGAAUAUAUAAUGUUGGUCGAUGUCAACCUGACAUCAAAUGGACUCAGGCGCAGAGGCUGGCGGAAAUGACAUACAAUACUUGAAUUCUCGAUGUAGAUGCUACAUGGUUGGUUCUCAUCCUACACGUGGGUAUUGGGGCCACUCGAUUGCCUGACUGAUGGGCGUGGGUUGGAGAUGAUUUUGUUUGUUUUGGGGGAUUGAAUCAACCCAAUUGCUAAGGAAAUUAUUUUCUUUUUUGAACCCAUCGACAUUUUUAUAUUAAGGGGAGGGAGAAUUUGACUGAGCCACAUAAUGGGCAACCUAAUUUGGUAUCGAAUUCGUCAUUCACGAUAUUCGAAUUUAAAAC